UACGGGGGGGGCAAGCGUUGUUCGGAAUUACUGGGCGUAAAGGGCUCGUAGGCGGCCAACUAAGUCAGACGUGAAAUCCCUCGGCUUAACCGGGGAACUGCAUCUGAUACUGGAUGGCUUGGAUUCGGGAGAGGAAUGCGGAAUUCCAGGUGUAGCGGUGAAAUGCGUAGAUAUCUGGAGGAACACCGGUGGCGAAGGCGGCAUUCUGGACCGAUAUUGACGCUGAGGAGCGAAAGCCAGGGGAGCAAACGGG
rnacentral:rRNA from 1 species